AUGGUAGGCGGAUUGGCGUGUCUAAAGUGUCCGUAGUGUACGAAUGGGUGUGUGAGUGAGUGUGUAUGUGAUUGUGCCCUGCGAUGGAUUGGCAUCCAGGGUGUACCCCACCUCGUGCCCCAUGCUCCCUGGGAUAGGCUCCAGGUUUCCCCGUGACCCUGAAAAGGAUAAAGCGGUAUGGAUGGAUGGGUGAAUGGAUGGACGAUACUGAUGAUAUAUCAGAUAGUGUAUGUUGAGAAGAAUUGAUCGGCAUAUUGAUAGUGUAUCGUUAUAUCAUCGCCCGGAUCUAAAUAUAGCUCAGCUCAGCUGCUGGAUCCUUAAUUAAUCCUCAAAAAGCGUCUGUGGUUAAACUAAACCCAGCCUUAAACCGUGGCUUAAAUGCAAUCCUAAUUACUUUUAAACAAGUUUUAACGGUUGGUCCAACCGGAUUAAGAUCCAUUUUGAUUUAAUCCACGUCUACAUCCUUUAAGGCAGGGAUUCCUUAAAUACUUCAACUGAAGGUUAAAGAAUAAAUCCAAGGAUUGCCGGAUUUCUUCGAUCCAAAGAUUAAAAUAUCAUUUAAAUGUCGACGGUGUUUCGGCUGUUUAUUUCAGACCUCGAGCUUCUGAAUGGAUCGUUUAACUUUAAAUGACGGUUAUGGUUAGAUUGGAGUUGACUCGACUGACUUCUUUUAGAGUUAACGAGGUUUGGAUUAAACCCGUUCAAUUCGAUCAAACAACUUAAUAACUGCAAGAACUCAUAACGUGGAUAGAUGUGAUUACAAUAAAAUGGAAUCGAAAAGAAACCAGAAACCCCUGGUGGUCCCUGGACCCCAGUGUGAGAAGCGAGUCAUUCAAACGUUAAUGCUGGAAUGUCUUUAAAGUGGAAUGUAAGGGUGUGUAUGAUGAGGACAGUCUACAUGAGUGUGUGAGUGAGGCCUGUAAUUUGUUUAGCGGUUAGCACGUUUGCUUGACACCUCCGGGGUCGGGGGUUCGAAUCCCACCUCCGCACUGUGUGCGUGGAGUUUGCAUGUUCUCCCCACGCUUCGGGGGUUUCCUCCUCCGGGUACUCCGGUUUCCUCCCCCGGUCCAAAGACAUGCGCUGUAGGCCGAUUGGCAUCUCGGAACUGUCCGUAGAGUGUGAAUGUGUGUGUGAAUGUGUGUGUGGUUGUCCCCCCGCCUUGUGCCCCGAGUUCCCUGGGAUCGGCUCCAGGCUCCCCGUGACCCUGUGUAGUGAUAAGUGAUGUGGAAAAUGGACGGAUGGAUAUAAAUAAAUAAUAAGAAACGAAAUGAAAAUUCAUACGUCAGGUUGGAAAGGCAUUACUUAAAUGUUGUUACUAGAGAUGAAUUUUCACACACGACCGUUUUAGGAUAAAGAUUUGUGUGUAGGAAUGUCUGAAACCGCUUCUCUCUCCGCACUGGUCUCUUCUUGUAAGGAGGGACCGAGGAACAACUUAAAAUGCCUGUCGUCUUUGGUAUGAGGUUUAUGCGCUAGGGGAAGAGAAAGACGCACACACGCAUGCACGCGCGCGCACACACACACACACACACAGCUUCAGGGUGGUCUCAUUAGGACUAAUGUGACAUUGUUCUUUUCAGCUGUUCUCCCUCUUUCUCUCUGUCUGUCUGUGUGUAGUGUAGCCAGGCGUGUCAGCCCUUUUCUCCCUUUACACGAACAAGAUUAAUGACACCAUGUGCUACUGCGGACUGUGUGUGUGUGUGUGUGUGUGUGUGUGUGUUAUCAAAAAAUUUUAAGUGCUUCUUGUCUUAUGCUUAAUGAUACUGAAGGAAACACUCGAGACUUUCGGGAAGCAAUACAAUAAAAUUAUUAUUAUUAUUAUUAUUAUUAUUAUUAUUAUUAUUAUUAUAUUAUUAUUGCUUGACAAAGCCUUCAUACUGUUCUGCUAUUUACAGUUCAUCCUAUCUAUCUAUCUAUCUAUCUAUCUAUCUAUCUAUCUAUCUGUCUAUCUAUCUAUCUAUCUAUCUAUCUAUCUAUCUGUCUAUCUAUCUAUCUAUCUAUCUAUCUAUCUAUCUCUACAAUUAUUGGCACCCUAUCUAUCUAUCUAUCUAUCUAUCUAUCUAUCUAUCUAUCUAUCUAUCUAUCUAUCUAUCUAUCUAUCUAUCUGUCUGUCUAUCUAUCUUAUCUAUCUAUCUAUCUCUACAAAUAUUGGCACCUUAUCUAUCUAUCUAUCUAUCUAUCUAUCUAUCUAUCUAUCUAUCUAUCUAUCUGCCUGUCUGUCUAUCUAUCUAUCUAUCUAUCUAUCUAUCUAACUCUACAAAUAUUGGCACCCUAUCUAUGUAUCUAUCUAUCUAUCUAUCUAUCUAUCUAUCUAUCUAUCUAUCUAUCUAUCUAUCUAUCUCUACAAAUAUUGGCACCCUAUCUAUGUAUCUAUCUAUCUAUCUAUCUAUCUAUCUGCCUGUCUGUCUAUCUAUCUAUCUAUCUAUCUAACU
ensembl:lncRNA